GACGUAGGGUGCAAGCGUUGUCCGGAUUUACUGGGCGUAAAGAGCGCGUAGGCGGUCUUGUAAGUGUGAAGUGAAAUCUCCAGGGCUCAACCCGGAAACUGCUUUGCAUACUGCGAGACUAGAGGGAUGCAGAGGUUUGUGGAAUUCCUGGUGUAGCGGUGAAAUGCGUUGAUAUCAGGAGGAACACCCCUGGCGAAGGCAGCAAACUGGGCAUCAUCUGACGCUGAGGCGCGAAAGCGUGGGGAGCAAACAGG
rnacentral:rRNA from 1 species